UUAUACUUUUUAAAAUAUAGUAAUAAGAAUGGUUAUUCGUUUAUUUUCCUGCAAACUAUUUUGUAUCCCAAACAAUUUUUAUAUAUAUAUUGAAUGGUAUAUCUAUGGUUUUUAUAUAUAUUGAAUUGCUCAUGACCUUAGGAAAGGUAAAGAGAAGAUUCUCUGACCGAUGCUGUUGUUUCUUCGUCAUAUAUGAUUUCUUUAUAAAUUGCUUAUUUAAAAACAUUUUGAUAACAUAAAAAAUACAAUUUAAUUUUUUUAAUUCAUAGAAAGAAUGUUAUAAAAUUGUUUAUAAAAAACUUACAAUGAGACUAUGGAAUUAAAUGCAACAAUCAAAUAAAUAAAUGUGCAUGUGAUAAGUUUAACUUCUAUGAUGGUAUAAAAGUUUUGAUACUUCUCUAUAAAUGAUAAUGGUCUUUAGAGGAUUAGAAGAAAACAGGAUUAAUUAGAAAAUAUUUUUAUUGCAAUAAAGGUAUUUUUCAUCCUAAAUUUGGAAGACUUUCUUCAUGCCCAACAUUGAUAAACCAUGGGAUUCGACGAUUCAGUUGCAAUGCUUGCACUUAUUCCACUGAUAUUUCAACCAAUUUGAAAAAUCAUAUUCUUAAACAUACAGGAGAGAGAAAUCAUAAAUGCAAUAUUUGUGGAAUGAAAUUUAUGCUGAAACAUCAUUUAAAAAAACAUUAUCUAAAAAAACAUGGAUUCAGGAUUCCUGGUCCGAUUUCAAUGGUAUAUUCUCCUAGUCAUAAUCGCCGUUUCAAAUGCCCUUAUUGUCCAUAUACUACUAAUGUAUCGACCAAUAUGAAAAAUCAUAGCCUAAGACAUACAGGGGAGAAAAAGUACUCUUGUCCAAUUUGUGGAGCAAAGUUUUUGUUAAGACACCAUUUGAAAAGGCAUGAGAUAACUCAUUUCAAUACGUAAUUUUUUAAAGGAAUUGAAAUUUGACUGUAUAUUAUAUAAUCUUGUUGUUUGUGAAUUAUUCAUAUUGAUGAUGAAAAAAAUUAUAUGAUGAUAUAUAAACUUUUCAAAUUAGAAGUUUUUUGUUGAUUGUGCUUUAUCUUUACUUUAAA